GGGGUUAAGGCUGCAACCUUCCCUUCUGUAAUGCAACCAAUGCAGGUCACAAGUCCUGAUGAAAAAUGCAGAGUGCAGA
rnacentral:ribozyme from 1 species